rnacentral:rRNA from 1 species
UACGGAGGGGGCUAGCGUUGUUCGGAAUUACUGGGCGUAAAGCGCACGUAGGCGGCUUUGUAAGUUAGAGGUGAAAGCCCAGGGCUUAACCCUGGAAUUGCCUUUAAGACUGCAUCGCUAGAAUCGUGGAGAGGUGAGUGGAAUUCCGAGUGUAGAGGCGAAAUUCGCAGAUAUUAGGAAGAACACCGGUGGCGAAGGCGACCAACUGGACCGAUAUUGACGCUGAGGCACGAAAGCGUGGGUAGCAAACAGG